UACGUAGGCAGCAAGCGUUGUUCGGAGUUACUGGGCGUAAAGAGUAUGUAGGCGGUUGCGUAAGUUCGGUGUGAAAUCUCCCGGCUUAACUGGGAGGGUGCGCCGAAAACUGCGUGGCUUGAGUGCGGGAGAGGAGAGCGGAAUUCCUGGUGUAGCGGUGAAAUGCGUAGAUAUCAGGAGGAACACCGGCGGUGUAGACGGCCCUCUGGACCGUAACUGACGCUGAGAUACGAAAGCGUGGGUAGCAAACAGG
rnacentral:rRNA from 1 species